rnacentral:rRNA from 1 species
UACGUAGGGUGCGAGCGUUGUCCGGAAUUACUGGGCGUAAAGGGUGCGUAGGUGGUUUCUUAAGUCAGAGGUGAAAGGCUACGGCUCAACCGUAGUAAGCCUUUGAAACUGGGAAACUUGAGUGCAGGAGAGGAGAGUGGAAUUCCUAGUGUAGCGGUGAAAUGCGUAGAUAUUAGGAGGAACACCAGUUGCGAAGGCGGCUCUCUGGACUGUAACUGACACUGAGGCACGAAAGCGUGGGAGCAAACAGGAUUAGAUACCCGGGUAGUCCCUGAG